rnacentral:tRNA from 1 species
GCUUUCGUUGUGUAACGGUAGCACACUUGACGCGUAUUUCAGAGGUCCAAGUUCGAGUCCCGGCGAGGGCA